rnacentral:rRNA from 1 species
AGUUAAGUGGGAAACGAUGUGGGAAGGCCCAGACAGCCAGGAUGUUGGCUUAGAAGCAGCCAUCAUUUAAAGAAAGCGUAAUAGCUCACUGGUCGAGUCGGCCUGCGCGGAAGAUGUAACGGGGCUAAACUGUGCACCGAAGCUGCGGCAGCGAACGUAUCACUUAAAACGAUUUGAUAAGGUUAAACGAUUGACGGAGCGAAGCGACGUCAAAGCGUUCCAUUACGUUGAGUCGGUUUAAGGAUACGUUCGUUGGGUAGGGGAGCGUUCUGUAAGCCGUCGAAGGUGGCCUGUGAGGG